GGGAUUGCCUCAGUAACGGCGAGUGAAGCGGCAAAAGCUCAAAUUUGAAAGCACCUUCGGUGUUCGAGUUGUAAUUUGAAGAUGGUAACCUUGGGUUUGGCUCUUGUCUAUGUUCCUUGGAACAGGACGUCAUAGAGGGUGAGAAUCCCGUCUGAUGAGAUGCCCAUUCCUAUGUAAGGUGCUAUCGAAGAGUCGAGUUGUUUGGGAAUGCAGCUCUAAGUGGGUGGUAAAUUCCAUCUAAAGCUAAAUAUUGGCGAGAGACCGAUAGCGAACAAGUACAGUGAUGGAAAGAUGAAAAGAACUUUGAAAAGAGAGUGAAAAAGUACGUGAAAUUGUUGAAAGGGAAGGGCAUUAGAUCAGACUUGGUGUUUUACGAUUAUCUUCUCUUCUUGAGUUGUGCACUCGUAUUUCACUGGGCCAGCAUCGAUUCGGAUGGCAAGAUAAUGGCAGUUGAAUGUGGCUUCACUUCGGUGGAGUGUUAUAGCUUCUGCUGAUAUUGCCUGUCUGGAUCGAGGGCUGCGUCUUUUGACUAGGAUGCUGGCGUAAUGAUCUAAUGCCGCCCGUCUUGAAACACGGACCAAGGAGUCUAACGUCUAUGCGAGUGUUUGGGUGUAAAACCCGUACGCGUAAUGAAAGUGAACGUAGGUGAGAGCUCUUUUGAGUGCAUCAUCGACCGAUCCUGAUGUUUUCGGAUGGAUUUGAGUAAGAGCAUAGCUGUUGGGACCCGAAAGAUGGUGAACUAUGCCUGAAUAGGGUGAAGCCAGAGGAAACUCUGGUGGAGGCUCGUAGCGGUUCUGACGUGCAAAUCGAUCGUCGAAUUUGGGUAUAGG
rnacentral:rRNA from 1 species